AGGGUAGCAAUAUCCUGAGUACACCGGCGCACGGGUGAGUAACACGUAGGCAAUCUGCCUUUAGGACGGGGACAACCCCGAGAAAUCGGGGCUAAUACCCGAUAAUGCAGCGGCACCGCAUGGUGAUGUUGUUAAAGGCCCGCAAGGGCGCCUAUUGAUGAGCCUGCGUCCCAUUAGGUAGUUGGCGGGGUAAAAGCCCACCAAGCCGACGAUGGGUAGCUGGUCUGAGAGGAUGAUCAGCCACACUGGAACUGAGACACGGUCCAGACUCCUACGGGAGGCAGCAGUGAGGAAUAUUGCGCAAUGGCCGAAAGGCUGACGCAGCGACGCCGCGUGAAGGAUGAAGUCCGUUAGGAUGUAAACUUCUUUUGCGAGGGAUGAAUGUUCCGCCUUGUGCGGACUUGACCGUACCUCGCGAAUAAGGGUCGGCCAACUACGUGCCAGCAGCCGCGGUAAUACGUAGGACCCGAGCGUUGUCCGGAAUUACUGGGUGUAAAGGGCGUGUAGGUGGGUCUCUCAGUCGGUGGUGAAAUCCUGCGGCUUAACUGCAGAACUGCCUCCGAUACUGGAGAUCUUGAGUGCGGCAGAGGGAGAUGGAAUUCAUGGUGUAGCGGUGAA
rnacentral:rRNA from 1 species